GGUUAAGUUAGAAAGGGCGCACGGUGGAUGCCUUGACACUAGGAGUCGAUGAAGGACGGGACUAACGCCGAUAUGCUUCGGGGAGCUGUAAGUAAGCUUUGAUCCGAAGAUUUCCGAAUGGGGAAACCCACCAUACGUAAUGGUAUGGUAUCCUUAUCUGAAUACAUAGGGUAAGGAAGACAGACCCAGGGAACUGAAACAUCUAAGUACCUGGAGGAAGAGAAAGCAAAUGCGAUUUCCUGAGUAGCGGCGAGCGAAACGGAACAUAGCCCAAACCAAGAGGCUUGCCUCUUGGGGUUGUAGGACAUUCUAUACGGAGUUACAAAGGAACGAGGUAGACGAAGCGACCUGGAAAGGUCCGUCGUAGAGGGUAACAACCCCGUAGUCGAAACUUCGUUCUCUCUUGAAUGUAUCCUGAGUACGGCGGAACACGUGAAAUUCCGUCGGAAUCUGGGAGGACCAUCUCCCAAGGCUAAAUACUCCCUAGUGAUCGAUAGUGAACCAGUACCGUGAGGGAAAGGUGAAAAGCACCCCGGAAGGGGAGUGAAAGAGAUCCUGAAACCGUGUGCCUACAAAUAGUCAGAGCCCGUUAACGGGUGAUGGCGUGCCUUUUGUAGAAUGAACCGGCGAGUUACGAUCCCGUGCGAGGUUAAGCUGAAGAGGCGGAGCCGCAGCGAAAGCGAGUCUGAAUAGGGCGUUUAGUACGUGGUCGUAGACCCGAAACCAGGUGAUCUACCCAUGUCCAGGGUGAAGUUCAGGUAACACUGAAUGGAGGCCCGAACCCACGCACGUUGAAAAGUGCGGGGAUGAGGUGUGGGUAGCGGAGAAAUUCCAAUCGAACCUGGAGAUAGCUGGUUCUCCCCGAAAUAGCUUUAGGGCUAGCCUUAAGUGUAAGAGUCUUGGAGGUAGAGCACUGAUUGGACUAGGGGUCCUCAUCGGAUUACCGAAUUCAGUCAAACUCCGAAUGCCAAUGACUUAUCCUUAGGAGUCAGACUGCGAGUGAUAAGAUCCGUAGUCAAAAGGGAAACAGCCCAGACCGCCAGCUAAGGUCCCAAAGUGUGUAUUAAGUGGAAAAGGAUGUGGAGUUGCUUAGACAACUAGGAUGUUGGCUUAGAAGCAGCCACCAUUUAAAGAGUGCGUAAUAGCUCACUAGUCGAGUGACUCUGCGCCGAAAAUGUACCGGGGCUAAAUACACCACCGAAGCUGCGGAUUGAUACCAAUGGUAUCAGUGGUAGGGGAGCGUUCUAAGGACAGUGAAGUCAGACCGGAAGGACUGGUGGAGUGCUUAGAAGUGAGAAUGCCGGUAUGAGUAGCGAAAGACGGGUGAGAAUCCCGUCCACCGAAUGCCUAAGGUUUCCUGAGGAAGGCUCGUCCGCUCAGGGUUAGUCAGGACCUAAGCCGAGGCCGACAGGCGUAGGCGAUGGACAACAGGUUGAUAUUCCUGUACCACCUCUUUAUCGUUUGAGCAAUGGAGGGACGCAGAAGGAUAGAAGAAGCGUGCGAUUGGUUGUGCACGUCCAAGCAGUUAGGCUGAUAAGUAGGCAAAUCCGCUUAUCGUGAAGGCUGAGCUGUGAUGGGGAAGCUCCUUAUGGAGCGAAGUCUUUGAUUCCCCGCUGCCAAGAAAAGCUUCUAGCGAGAUAAAAGGUGCCUGUACCGCAAACCGACACAGGUAGGCGAGGAGAGAAUCCUAAGGUGUGCGAGAGAACUCUGGUUAAGGAACUCGGCAAAAUGACCCCGUAACUUCGGGAGAAGGGGUGCUUUCUUAACGGAAAGCCGCAGUGAAUAGGCCCAAGCGACUGUUUAGCAAAAACACAGCUCUCUGCGAAGCCGUAAGGCGAAGUAUAGGGGGUGACACCUGCCCGGUGCUGGAAGGUUAAGGAGAGGGGUUAGCGUAAGCGAAGCUCUGAACUGAAGCCCCAGUAAACGGCGGCCGUAACUAUAACGGUCCUAAGGUAGCGAAAUUCCUUGUCGGGUAAGUUCCGACCCGCACGAAAGGUGUAACGAUUUGGGCACUGUCUCAACCAGAGACUCGGUGAAAUUAUAGUACCUGUGAAGAUGCAGGUUACCCGCGACAGGACGGAAAGACCCCGUGGAGCUUUACUGUAGCCUGAUAUUGAAUUUUGGUACAGUUUGUACAGGAUAGGCGGGAGCCAUUGAAACCGGAGCGCUAGCUUCGGUGGAGGCGCUGGUGGGAUACCGCCCUGACUGUAUUGAAAUUCUAACCUACGGGUCUUAUCGACCCGGGAGACAGUGUCAGGUGGGCAGUUUGACUGGGGCGGUCGCCUCCUAAAGUGUAACGGAGGCGCCCAAAGGUUCCCUCAGAAUGGUUGGAAAUCAUUCGUAGAGUGCAAAGGCAUAAGGGAGCUUGACUGCGAGACCUACAAGUCGAGCAGGGACGAAAGUCGGGCUUAGUGAUCCGGUGGUUCCGCAUGGAAGGGCCAUCGCUCAACGGAUAAAAGCUACCCCGGGGAUAACAGGCUUAUCUCCCCCAAGAGUCCACAUCGACGGGGAGGUUUGGCACCUCGAUGUCGGCUCAUCGCAUCCUGGGGCUGUAGUCGGUCCCAAGGGUUGGGCUGUUCGCCCAUUAAAGCGGUACGCGAGCUGGGUUCAGAACGUCGUGAGACAGUUCGGUCCCUAUCCGUCGUGGGCGUAGGAAAUUUGAGAGGAGCUGUCCUUAGUACGAGAGGACCGGGAUGGACGCACCGCUGGUGUACCAGUUGUUCUGCCAAGGGCAUAGCUGGGUAGCUAUGUGCGGAAGGGAUAAGUGCUGAAAGCAUCUAAG
rnacentral:rRNA from 1 species